GCAUCAGUGGCACAGCGGUAACAUGCGGCCUGCCCAUAAAGCAUCGGACAAAUGCGCGCUCGGGGUUCGACUCCCCGCUGAUGCA
rnacentral:tRNA from 1 species